GACGAACGCUGGCGGCGUGCCUAAUACAUGCAAGUAGAACGCUGAAGAGAGGAGCUUGCUCUUCUUGGAUGAGUUGCGAACGGGUGAGUAACGCGUAGGUAACCUGCCUGGUAGCGGGGGAUAACUAUUGGAAACGAUAGCUAAUACCGCAUAAAAUGGAUUAUCGCAUGAUAAUCCAUUGAAAGGUGCAAAUGCAUCACUACCAGAUGGACCUGCGUUGUAUUAGCUAGUUGGUGGGGUAACGGCUCACCAAGGCGACGAUACAUAGCCGACCUGAGAGGGUGAUGGGCCACACUGGGAAUGAGACACGGCCAAGACUCCUACGGGAGGCAGCAGUAGGGAAUCUUCGGAAAUGGACGGAAGUCUGACCGAGCAACGCCGCGGGAGUGAAGAAGGUUUUCGGAUCGUAAAGCUCUGUUGUAAGAGAAGAACGAGUGUGAGAGUGGAAAGUUCACACUGUGACGGUAUCUUACCAGAAAGGGACGGCUAACUAC
rnacentral:rRNA from 1 species